CAAUGGGCGGCACAAAGGGCUGCGAACCCGCGAGGGGGAGCCAAUCCCACAAAGUCGCUCUCAGUUCGGAUUGGAGUCUGCAACUCGACUCCAUGAAGGCGGAAUCGCUAGUAAUCGCGGAUCAGCAUGCCGCGGUGAAUACGUUCCCGGGCCUUGUACACACCGCCCGUCACACCAUGGAAGUUAGUUGUACCGGAAGUCGGUAACUCAACCCGCAAGGGAGAUAGCCGCCCAUGGUAUGGCUGAUGAUCUGGGGUGAAGUCGUAAUCAAGGUAGCCGUA
rnacentral:rRNA from 1 species